CCUACCUGUGAGUGACCCUGUUCAUGAUUUUGGAUUUCUGCCUGUUUGCUUCUCCCUUCUCGGACUCUCCAGUCUGUUUUCGGUAUCUGGACAAGACCUUUGCCUGUCGCCUGACUCUGCUUCGCCCUUCUGUACUUCUGCCUGUCAGAUUGUUUUGGAUUACUGACCUCGGACUGGAUUCUGGACUCCGCCUGUUGGAUUGCCCCCACUGGUGCCUCUGCCUUUCUCUGUCAGCAUGUGUAUGACCUUGGACUGUCACAGGAUUGCCACUCCACUGACUAACCGCUUCUGGGGUGAACUUCUGAAUCUGCAUCAAGCUCACACAUUGGAGUCUCUGUCCAUUACGGAGCCUAUUAAGAGCUGCCAGUACCAGUUCCUGUACUUUCCUGCACCAGCUACGUAUAUUUAAAUAAAAUUGUUAAACGUG